GUUGAAACACCACUUCUUGUAUGAUCACCAAAGUUAAUCAACAUUGAGCCUGGUUAGUACCUAGAUGGGUGACUGCUUGGGAAAACCAGGCGCAGUA